AUUUAUUCAAUUUAUUAGCUUGUAGAUUUCUAACAUAGUUCUUUUGUCAGUUUGUAAGGGAUAAAGGAAAAACUUUACGUUUAAAGGAAAAUAGAAAUUUCACCAGUUAUUUGUCGGAGGAAGGAUGGUGUUGGACUGCUGCGGUCCGGGAGAAAGUGCCGGAAGUGGGUGGUGGGAAGACCACGGACAGUUAUUGGUUUACAGAAAUUAACUUGUUUCCUUUAAUUUGUUUUAUUAUUUGUUAUGUAAUUAUUUAUAUUCAUCUGUUUAAUAUUGAUAUUUUUAAUUAUUUAAACAAAGGGUUAAGAAUUGUAUUACGUUCAUUAUGUAAAUGAACCUACCUAUUUAAGUUGUCGGUAGGUGUCGUAUGUUAUCAUUAUCAUCACGCUUUUGCUACUAACCAGUGUCCUUUGUGAAUCAUCAACAGUUAACCUUUUUAUAUGUUGUUCAGUGGAAUUUCAUUACUAUUAUUGGAAUUAAUGUUAUUUUAUACCUUACUAAUAAAGUUUUUGCAUAACCAAGUUAACAUGGACUGUUUUGGUGUGGUUGACUACAUUCUACGUUGGUUACGGGAAACAGAGUUGGAAAUUAAUGUUAAGAUUAAGCGCCGGACCAGCGUCGUGGGGGACCGGGGCCGAACUUCCAGCGGGUUCUCGACAGGUAGUCGGGGCUCGUCACAA
rnacentral:lncRNA from 1 species